UGGAGACAGGUGCUGCAUGGCUGUCGUCAGCUCGUGUCGUGAGAUGUUCGGUUAAGUCCGCUAACGAGCGCAACCCUCGCUGUGUGUUACAAGUGUCACACGGAACUGCCGGUCAUAAACCGGAGGAAGGUGGGGAUGACGUCAAGUCAGCAUGGCCUUUAUAUCCUGGGCUACACACACGCUACAAUGGGAAGGGACAAUAGGUUGCGAAGCCGCGAGGCGGAGCCAAUCCAGCAAAACUUCCCUCAGUUCAGAUUGCAGGCUGCAACUCGCCUGCAUGAAGUUGGAGUUGCUAGUAAACGCAGGUCAGCCAUACUGCGUUGAAUACGUUCCCGGGGCUU
rnacentral:rRNA from 1 species